AAAGAUUAAGCCAUGCAUGUCUAAGUAUAAGCAAUUAUACCGUGAAACUGCGAAUGGCUCAUUAAAUCAGUUAUCGUUUAUUUGAUAGUACCUUACUACUUGGAUAACCGUGGUAAUUCUAGAGCUAAUACAUGCUAAAAACCCCAACUUCGGGAGGGGUGUAUUUAUUAGAUAAAAAACCAAUGCCCUUCGGGGCUCCUUGGUGAUUCAUGAUAACUUCUCAGAUCGCAUAGCCUUGUGCUGGCGACGGUUCAUUCAAAUUUCUGCCCUAUCAACUUUCGAUGGUAAGGUAUUGGCUUACCAUGGUUUCAACGGGUAACGGGGAAU
rnacentral:rRNA from 1 species